AAUAAAUUAAUGCACUGUCAACAAACAGACGAACGAUAAAACACGUUUAUAUAAGGAGACAGACGAAUAUCAUCGCCACCUUUCUUUGAGGCAUAGAGUCAUGAGAAGGGUCACUUAAACAGAUAAACAAAGGGCAGGAGACGAACCAAGCCUUGAACGACACGUCUCCUACGACAAGGAAAAAUCGGAAAAUAAACCCCUGUUGAAGACGGAUUUAUUGUACCAAAGUGCGCAUAACGAGAGUACAACGUUUUAAUAUCCAACGAUGGAGAAGGAUGAAAGGUUACUUCACAUUCACAUUUCAUCUACAAAAUGCUUGGUCAGAUGUGCCUGAAGACAAAAAGUUGCAGAAACAGCAACCAUUGGAAAAUAGACUCCUCCCACUUCCUUUUGUUCUAAUGCAUGGGGCAUACAAAAUAUUGUUGGCCAUCCAACAAUCAAAAAAUUGAUACCGUUUGUCGUUCGAAGAUAUUUUUAAUUACAAGUAAAGAUAUGUUAACCGACUAGUCUUAAAUAAAAGGCUGAUAGACGACAGUCAGCUUUUCACUCCUAGUGUUUUCAGUUUCAUAAGUAUACUAUUCAAAUGCGUUUGUGAAUUUUUCCGUAUUCCAAACCUGUAGAUCAUCAUGGCCUGCAAACGUAUAAUAAAAACCGCUUUCGCAAAAUAUGAUAUCGUAAACAAAUUGAGGAUAGCAAAUUUCACUAUGUACCUGUUGAAAACUUUUAUUUGCUGGUAUGUCAGUGUUUGUGUUUUUGGUGAAUUGAUUUUUUGUUUUGCUAAAAGGAAGUUUCUUCUAAACGAAACUCCAAUUUAGACGAAAGGUAUGUGCAUUUACAGACAAUGUACGCUUCUUGACCGAGGGUCAUGCAAGUUUUUUUCUAAAUGAAAUGUUUGCCUAUGUAACUUGUUCAGUAUAAAAAUGCAUAUAGCUGUCUGCUUCUCUUGGAAAAAACAGCAUUUUAUCUGCAUUGCGUUUUCUUUAAGAAAAACAUUAAAAAAAUCAUUUUAUUGACUGUUUAAUUUUUUCUAUACAUAUGUACACAGAAAUAAUGAAAGUUCAUAACUAUCAGGUGUGAAAUUAGUGUACGCUCAUCUUUUGUAAGGGCGACCAAAACCCUAUAAAGACAAAAUGUUAAAUUAAAAAUUUAACACGAAAGCAUGAUUAAAGAUGGAGUCGCAGGCUUUGAAUGAUAAGUGCAAAGCAUUUUGCGUUUAUAGAAAAGACGAAAUUUUAUUCUUAGCACAGCUAAAAUAAUUUAAGCAAACGUGUACAAAGGAAUGUAUAAAGAUAUCACAGCUGACAAGAAUCUGCAAAAAUAUUAAUUCUAGGAUCAAGGUCUUCCAACUGUCAAUUUAAAAACAAGUAGAAAAUAAACCGGUUGAUUCCCAUUAAACCGAAACCGAAAAUUAAUAACAGAACACAAAAGAGUAAAUUAACAAUAACCGCGUAACAGCGUAAUUUAAGUAUGAAGUACUGAUUUAUUUUCUAUUUCCUGGUGAGCAUGACAAAUAUUGACAUGGUCUUGUUCAAUGAAUCUAUACGUGUAUGAAUUGUAUGACUUUUCGUUGUAUUAUUUAUUUACAAUUGUGGGUUAAGACUUAACAAUAAAUACAUAUUUUAUCACAACUGACAUAUACUAUCAAACACCAUGGAAUGGAUAAUUUCAUACGAUGUAAUAGUGUUUGUUAUUUGAUUUAUAUUGUUCUUUAUGAAUCUCGUGAUAUUGGAGAAUCGCGUUUUACCAGUCGAGCAUUUGGCUGUCAAAUCCGAUCAGCUGUUUACACAUGCCCUCUAUAAGAUUUAUCAAAUUUUGCAACACAAUCCUAUAUGUUUAACAUAGAAACAAUACAGAUAAUGUUAACAUUAUGUAAAUAUGAAGUUGAUAAUAUUAUAAACUUUUUCUGUUUUUAUUUUCAAGAAUUUUUACAAUUUGCUGUCCAUGUUGUUAAUAGAGAGCGACCAAAAAUUCACCUACACAGCUAACAUGUAAGGACGUGAUACUGGCGUUUCCAGCACAAAAGCUAUGUCUUGCUAUUAAACGAUACGCUUGAAAUUGCCAAAGAAAACACAUGAACACCAUCUGAUUUUGGACGUGUAAACCUGUCCCAAACACACAUCAAGUAUAUAUAUAUAUACACCUAAACAUAACACAGAUUAAAGGGGACUUUUUUACAUUUUGGUAAAUUGACAAUAUUGAAAAAAAAAGAUUUGCAAACUUGUUUGCGAUAAAAAAAGUAAUAAACAACAUUUACCAUGCUCUCAAAUAUCCAUUAUAUGCAUCUUUUGACGAUUUAAAAACCUGGAAAUUAUAAAUCGCUACAAAAGUGAAACUUUCGAAUAAUUUGGAGAGUUCUGUUGAUAUCGUUACAUUACGAGGAUUGCUUAUAUAAAAUUUAAAAUACAAUAGAUUAUGUGUAUGUACAAAUGGCUUAGUGGUUUCAGCGCUAGACAUAUACUCCAAGGGUCAGUGGUUCGAGCCCAGUUACGGAUGACCUUUUAAUUGCAUACUUUUUUUGUCCUGGAGCUAUUUGGUUCCAAUGUUUUCAUUUAUCCAUGAAAAUGAAUGAAAGUCAAAUUUGGUUGGUUCAUCUGAACUUUUAUUCAAGUAUUAUAUUCAUCAACGUUUAUCAAUAAUGAUUUUUAAGAGGAUCAAAUUAACUCGCUUGAAAAUGUAAAGUUUCGUUAAAUCUUCAGAUUGGUACAGGAGACUAUUUGAAAGAAUUGUACGCGAUGCAUACACAAAGACAAACGUACUUAAGGCUGACAGUGGCUUUCUUCAGAAUACCUUAUUUGUUGUUAUAUUAAGUCCCUUAUUGACUGUGAACGAAAGGUCUAGUGAGUACUAUAGUAAAUUGAGUUUCUUAAGCUUCAAACGUUAAAUUGAGCCUCGUUCUGGGAAUACAGGGCUUAAUGCAUGUGCAUUUAGUGUCAUCCCAGAUAAGCAAGUGCAAUCCGCAAAGGCUAAUCAAGGACGCCAGUUUCUGCCUAAUCAGGGGCCGUAUUCCAGUAGCUUCUUUAUUUUUCACUUAAGUUAAGAAAUUUCUUAAAUAAAUUUCUUAUGUUAAAUUUGAAAUGUCAAAAACAAAACAUGAGACGCUUAGUAUUUCUCUUUAAGAAAUUCCUUUAAGAGUUAAAGGAAGUUGACUUGAUUUUAAAUAUAUGAGAAAAAAUACACAGAGUAAAGAAAUUUAUUAAGUUUAUGAAGCUACCAGAAUUUAACUUAAGUGAAAUCUUAUGUUUAAAGAAAAAAUGGCGGAGAUAAGAAAAAAUAUUGCGCAAUAUUUCAACGUAAGUUAUAUUUUAACUUAAGAAGCUACUGGAAUACAGCCCCUGGAUUUUAGUUUCGAACAGACUUCCUUUUUACUUUAAAAUAAUAGCAGUCUUUGGUAAUCUACUAAUCAUACAUACUAUUACAAAUAUGAGAACAUGUAUUGUCAAUCUAUCAGUUGUUUUGCUUAUUUACAAAUAUUUCUUUCUGUCAAGUUCAAGACAACACAUUUUGCAAUUGUUUCCUAAUAAACAAA